rnacentral:rRNA from 1 species
CCUACGGGAGGCAGCAGUGGGGAAUCUUGCGCAAUGCGCGAAAGCCUGACGCAGCAACGCCGCGUGAAUGACGAAGGCCUUCGGGUCGUAAAGUUCUUUUUACAGGGAAGAAAAUGCCUAUAAGUAACUAUGUAUGUAUUGACGUUACCUUUUUAAACAGCCCUGGCUAACUCCGUGCCAGCAGCCGCGGUAAUACGGAGGGGGCAAGCGUUGUCCGGAGUUACUGGGCGUAAAGAGCACGUAGGCGGUGUUUUAAGUCAUGAGUGAAAGACUAGGGCUCAACUUGGGUAGGGCAUGUGAUACUAUAAUACUUGAGUGCAGGAGAGGAAAGCAGAAUUCCUGGUGUAGCGGUGAAAUGCGUAGAGAUCAGGAGGAACACCAGUGGCGAAGGCGACUAUCUGGACGGUAACUGACGCUGAGGUGCGAAAGCGUGGGUAGCAAACAGGAGUAGAUACCCGAGUAGUC